rnacentral:rRNA from 1 species
AGUUUGAUCCUGGCUCAGAUUGAACGCUGGCGGCAGGCCUAACACAUGCAAGUCGAGCGGUAGAGAGAAGCUUGCUUCUCUUGAGAGCGGCGGACGGGUGAGUAAUGCCUAGGAAUCUGCCUGGUAGUGGGGGAUAACGUUCGGAAACGGACGCUAAUACCGCAUACGUCCUACGGGAGAAAGCAGGGGACCUUCGGGCCUUGCGCUAUCAGAUGAGCCUAGGUCGGAUUAGCUAGUUGGUGGGGUAAUGGCUCACCAAGGCGACGAUCCGUAACUGGUCUGAGAGGAUGAUCAGUCACACUGGAACUGAGACACGGUCCAGACUCCUACGGGAGGCAGCAGUGGGGAAUAUUGGACAAUGGGCGAAAGCCUGAUCCAGCCAUGCCGCGUGUGUGAAGAAGGUCUUCGGAUUGUAAAGCACUUUAAGUUGGGAGGAAGGGCAGUUACCUAAUACGUAAUUGUUUUGACGUUACCGACAGAAUAAGCACCGGCUAACUCUGUGCCAGCCGCCGCGGUAAUUCA